GAUGAGCGAAUUUCCGGUUAUGAAAUUAGUUUGCGAUUCGUUUACUGGUAAAAGGUGAAUUGCGUUAUGGAUUCAGUUACCACGGACCAGAACGCAAUUCUAUAACUGAAUGCCUUUAGCGGCAUUCCGUUAAUCAUUCCAUCAUAAUAGAAGUCUAUGGGCUGCAUAACGGAUCCUCCCAUUUCUGUUAUGCAGGAGAGGACUCCCCUGCAUAACGGAAAUAGAGCGGAUCCUUUCCCAACCUGAAC